rnacentral:rRNA from 1 species
UACGUAGGGGGCUAGCGUUGUCCGGAUUUAUUGGGCGUAAAGAGCGUAUAGGCGGCCAGGUAGGUCUGCUGUGAAAACUCGAGGCUCAACCUCGAGAUGUCGGCGGAAACCAUCUGGCUAGAGUCCGGAAGAGGAGAGUGGAAUUCCUGGUGUAGCGGUGAAAUGCGCAGAUAUCAGGAAGAACACCUAUGGCGAAGGCAGCUCUCUGGGACGGUACUGACGCUGAGACGCGAAAGCGUGGGGAGCGAACAGG